CACAUGCAGCGGCACAUGCAGCGGCACAUGCAGCGGCACAUGCAGCGGUAGCGGCGCCUGCAGCGGCGCCUGCAGCGGCGCCUGCAGCGGCACAUGCAGCGGUAGCGGCGCCUGCAGCGUCGCCUGCAGCUACAGCAGCAGCGGCACAUGCAGCGGCACAUGCAGCGGUAGCGGCGCCUGCAGCGGCGCCUGCAGCGGCACCUGCAGUGGCACCUGCAGGGCCAGCGGCACAUGCAGCGGCACAUGCAGCGGCGCCUGCAGCGGCGCCUGCAGCGGCACCUGCAGUGGCACCUGCAGGGCCAGCGGCACAUGCAGCGGCACAUGCAGCGGCACCUGCAGCGGCGCCUGCAGCGGCGCCUGCAGCGGCACCUGCAGCGGCGGCCAUGCAGCGGCACCUGCAGCGGCGCCUGCAGCGGCGCCUGCAGCGGCGCCUGCAGCGACACCUGCAGCGGCACCUGCAGCGGCACCUGCAGCGGCAUCUGCAGCGGCACCUGCAUUGACGCCUGCAGGGGCAGGGACAGUGGCAACAGUGGCGGCGGUUGCAGCAGCUGAUGCAGCAGUGGUGGGUAGUGCGGUUUCAGCAGCAGUGGAAGCGAUGAUGGCAGCGAGGGCG
rnacentral:lncRNA from 1 species